CCUGACACUAGAGGUGUUGCAGCUGUGGCUGCUGUGUCACAGGUGUGCCAGUAGGUGGCAAAAAAGGAGAGAGGCUAGGUCUAUCUGUGCUCGGUGUUCUGACCUAUGGACAUCUGAAUGAUUAAUGGCCUAAAAUU